GCUGCGGGGCGGGGAGAAGCGGCGGCGGUGAGCGAGGCGGCGGGCGGGACGCAGCGAAGGGAGGCGGUCGCGGCGCCACCCGUGCAGCUCCAGCCCCGGCCGCCCCCUCCCGCGGUGCCACGGCCGUGCGAGUCCCCGGCGGCUGCAGGCUGAGGGGGACUUAGGACUGCCCCCACCCAGGCCUCCCUCUCGGGACCGAGCGAUGCUGCGGGCUGACUGCAGAGCCUAGCGUGCGGCACCUCCCGCGCCCCCCGGGAACUCCUUGCAGCAACUCGCCGUGGAUCUCGGCCUGCGACCUGGAGCUGGAGAUAGGUCCGCAGAGAAGAGAUUUAAGGUGGGGAAUUGAACCAUAGGAGAAAUUUUCACCUCCGGGGCCUUCACGGGUCACUCUGCGAUCUGCGACCUCCUCCUUCAAUCCUCUGUCCCUGCUCUUUCUAACUAUACUUUAGUGAGUCCCUGCUAUUCCACAAUUUACGGCAAAGAGCCUGCUUCACUGACUGCUCCCGGAUGGGAGGACUUGCAGGCUGGAGCCAAAACCCAAUGAGGAGGAUCCAGUCAACCGUCUUUUAUAAUUUCAGACUUCCCUUGCGAUCGUACGAAAAUGUACUAUAAAGUCAGGAAAAUGGGCCCAUUGCAAGCUUCAAGAUCUCUAGUAUCUCCUUACUUUAGAGCCAAACGUUACUCUAGCAAAUUUAAAGCAACAUGACUUCCUGCUGGGUUCUUUGAAUUGGUCUCUGAAUUGGGACCAAAAACUUAAAAUUUUAAAAAUUUGCAGAUGUAACGCCCCCAUCCACCUCCUCCUCCUAAUUUAAGACGCAGGAAGGUGUAGAAAGUUGGAGUCUUCAAGAUAUUCUUGAUUGUGGGUUUGACACACCUGUCAGGGCUUGACUGCCGCUCACAGUAAAAGACAUGCGCAAGUGUGGGAAUCACGUUGGUUUGUUGUUUAAACAAACAAUUGCAAAAUCAUCCAUCCAGCACAAUCCUGAGUAGGUUGUGAUAUGGUUUGUGCCUGGGUUGAGCCACAUUUCACUGAUGGGCCAGGAGAAUGUACCCAAUGCUGUUAUAAGCUUCUCCACUGUGACCUGCAUUUUCUACUUCCUAAAUAAAUGUCUUUACCUCUCCUCUAGGUCACUUUGAAGGGGCUUUGAGGCACAACAGGAAGUCAUUCUACUGUGAGAGUCCGGCUGAAGGCACUUGCCAAGCCAUCAUGAAAUCCCAUGUUUUUAGGGGAUUCUAUGCUUUCCCACCUAAAAAUCCGUAGCACUGAUUCCUGUAGCGGUGCUGAGGCAGGAGAGGGUCAGACCAGGUCAGAAGCCCUUCCUCUUCUGUAUGCACCCAUUGCCCCUUCCUUUGACACACAACUUCAGAGCUGGGAAGAACCUUGGAAAUUACCUCCUCCAGUCCUCUUCUCUAACAGCCCAGGAAAAUGAGCAUAGGAAAACUAACUUUCUGAAUAUUGCCCAGUUAGAGACCUGUGUUCCGCUAGACCCUUCUCACUCCGCAGGGCAGUCUGUCUUUAGUGUGGUAGGAAAAACCAGGAGGGCAGUUGUCAUAAUGCAGGCAGGAGCUCAUUGCCAUUUUGAAUGGGCAUGGACUGCCCUAAUAGGACACAAAGUCUAGCCAAAGUCGCACAUGGAAACCACCCACCACUGCUUGCUUUGCUUGAAAGAACGCAAGGGCUGGGAGACAGCUGCCUCCGAUUUUACUUCUGGCCUUAGAAAGGUUCCAGUUAAUUUCACUUAACAUAGUUUUGCUGGCUAUUCCAGGAAAAUUUUGGCAUUUCCUUUGUAGAAUCCUCAGUCCUUCAGAAAUAUUAGAUUUCUAAACUGACUAUUCUGCAUAUACGUCCCCCUCUUUUUUGGUUAUUUAAUUCCUAUUAUAAAACACAAGGGCUGCUACUGGUCUUAUGUUUAAUUUAGUGCAUUAUAUUUUAUUAGAUUUCUAUGGCUUCCUGUUAGAGGAGUUUGUGUGAGAUUUUGUGGGGAGGUCCGGGUUGACUUUAAAGAACUCCUUGGGUUAGUUGGCCGAGAACCAUUGGCCUUGGUUGGCUGCCAAGGAGACGCGUGGGAGGACCAUUUGAAAGUGCCUACUUCUCCAAGGUACACCAAACAAACUUGAUUUCUAGAAACAAAGGUGGAAUAUCUCUACAGUCAAAUGUAUCUGUUAUUCAUCUGCAAACCUCUCAGCCCUUUGCUUGACAAGUGUUUGCUGUAACUUUGUUUCUUCUCUCACUCUGUCUCUCUUAAAGGAGGAGAUAUAAAUCAAACUGCCUGGGUAACCUUGGCCUUACAAAACUUCUCAACGAUUUCCAGCAAGACAACAGUCAAGAAAUUUCUCUGAAGAUAGUCUAAACAAUUUCAGAUUCAAAGAACUAAAAAUACUUUGAAGCUACUCAAAUGUUAAUCUUAGCACAAGUUUUAUUGUUGUGGCUCUUCAUAUCUCAUCAAACAUUCAAAGAGUAAUUUGUCCGGUGUAUUUUUCCUUUGUGGUUGGGGGAAGACAUUGCGUGAGCAUUUCCAAGAAGUUAAAUGCAAACUGCUGGCUUUUUCUAAAUUCCAAUGCCUGGGGUACACAGUUGUGUCAUAAUCAUAUAUUUUUUAAAGUAUCCACUUAUAUAAACUAGCUCACGAAAAGCACUAUCAACGGAAUCUUUGGUUACCUAUGUAGUAACCAAAAAAUUGCGUUGGGCUCACAUUUGCCAUCUUAUCUUGCCUCUUCCAGUCAUUCUGACUGCUUUGUAAUAGCACUAAUAUCAAACCAAGAGAAAAAGAUUAUCAGUGGCAGAUUCUCCCCAUAAAUCGAGUCCUGUGGUAAGUUGGCCAAAAGGGAAACAAGCAGGUGGAUUAUUCUUCAGCCUGUAUUUCUUUUAUGUUCACUGUGAACUUCCUGGAAGCAAUGGGCUCUUGAAACAUUCUGUAUUUUCCUGAGAAAAAUGAUGUGUGGCCAGUUCCACAAGAGAACUGGUGGAUCUUGGGAAGGGGUGGGGAUUUUCCCCUUCGUCACUUAUUCAAUUACUCUGAAGUAGGUAGGAGGGGGCAUCACUCAGGCUAUCAAGGCCCCCCAGAAAUUGAAAAAUUGAAAAACAGAAGUGGAGCAUUGAUCUGCCUCUCCAGGCUAGCACAAGAGCUGGAGAGAGAGAGAGAAUUGUUCUUUUAAGUAUAAACUUGGUGGUUGGUAUCCUUAACCUAACAGCAGUGUUCUCAAGCCUGGAUUGGCUUCAAAAUUACCUGUGGAAAUGUCUAUGCCCACCAUAGACCUCUUGAACCAGAAGUGCAUUUUAGAAACCUAGCACAGGAGAGACACAAAAAGUAUUUCAGCUCUUAAAAGAUUUGUAAUUUAAUCGUUAAAAUCAAUCAUACAUAUUCUGAUGUCUUAUACCUGCUCUAAUGCUAUAUAUCAUCUUAACAUUUAAGUAGAUGGUAGGUUGAAGUUGUUUUAAAAGAAUAAACUUUUAGAAGUAGAUAUUGGAGGCUGGAUGUAGUGGCUCAUGCAUGCAAUCCCAGCACUUUGGGAGGCCGAGGCGGGAGGAUCACCUGAGGUCAGGAGUUCAAGACCAGCUUGACCAACGUGGAGAGACCCCCAUCUCUAUUAAAAAUACAAAAUUAGCGGGACAUGGUGAUACAUACUUCUAAUCCCAGCUACUCGGGAGGCUGAGGCAGGAGAAUCACUUGAGACCAGGAAGCGGAGGUUGUGGUGAGCCGAGACCGUGCCAUUGCACUCCAGCCUGGGCAACAAGAGCAAAACUCCGUCUCAAAAAAAAAAAAAAAAAAAAAGAAGUAGAUAUUGGAGUGACUAAUUUAAGCCUAAUGCUAUUAAUCUUUUGUAUAUGUGGUCAGAAAUGGGGAAAAUGCCUUUAAAAUUAUAAAUUAGCAAAAGAAAACAGAGAUUCUCCUAUGCUUUCAAAAGUUCAGAAAUGAAGUAAAACACUUUCAAAAAUCUUUCAGGAAAAUGCAUUCUGUGUUGAGAUCACUCAUGCAUUCAUGUGUUGAGAUCAGAGUUUAAGAAAGCAAAUCAUCAGAAGGAAAACUCCUUCCACUUUAUCACACAUAUUUCAAGUAAAUGACUUAGAAGCCAGAAAUCACAAUGGAAAAGGUUUGGUAAUCUUAAGUGUGAUUGUUCUCCUCUAAUUCCUUAGGUUUCCCAAUGAGGGAAAUGCUAAAAUGUAAAUUAUUAUUUAUGCACAAAAUAUAUUUAAUAGAAGUUAGAAUUGAACAUUACUCUCGAAUACAUCCCAAAUACAUAGCAUCGCUGCUACCUUUAUGGGAACAAGAUCCCAAAUCUCAAUAGGAAAAUGCAUUUUAAAAUGCUAUAUUGAUUUCAAUUUUACAUAUUUUAGAAAACUGGGGAGAAAUCCCACAAAAUGCUAACAGUGGGUUAUAUCUACGUGUAACUAUGGAUAAUCUAAACAUUUUGUUCUUUAUAUUUUUCUGCUUUUUCAAAUUUUCAAUAAUAAGAAUUUAUGACUUUGGGAUUUGAAAAAAAAAAUUUUUCCCUAUAUAAAAAUGUCCUCAAUCAGAUCAGCUGGUCCACCUUGCUUAAAGUUUUAUUUGAUUAUUGAUACCAAAUAACAUUUUUGGAAAAGUAUGAGAGUUGUUUUCCAAGACUACUUAGAAGAUUAGGGAAGUAAAUAUUUUCAUUUUUCAUGCAAACACUUUUAGGUAUCAAGUGGACAGAUGUAAUGUACAUGUAACUUAUGAAGCAUAAAUUGAUUAAAUAAAUGCUAGUGAACCUCGCUCAAUUUAAGAAUUAAAGCAUUACUAAGACUAUGGAAGCUAUCUGUUCUUCUCCCUGAGUCCCAUCCCCUUGCUGACCUGCCCCCAGAAAAAAACACAAUUCUGAAUUUUGUAUUAAUAAUUCCUUUGCUUUUCAUUUCAAUUUAAUUUUUUAGAGACGGGGUCUCACUGUCUCCCUCAGGUUGGAGUGCAGUGGUGCAAUCAUAGCUCACUGUAACUCCAGGGCUCAAGUGAUCCUCAGGUCUCACUCUUCCGAGUAGCUGGGAUUGCAGGUAUGCCACUGCUCUUUAAAUUAUUUCUAUCACAUAUGCAUAGAACCCCCCCUUUUUUUGUUUUAGGUUUGCUCUUCAGUUCUAUAAAAAUGGUGUCAUACCAUAUAUAAUUUUUCUAUAAAUUGCUUUUUUCACUUAACAGUGUUUCCAAAAGUCAUCCACAUUCUGCAUAUAGAGAAGUUCAUUCAUAUUCAAUGCUGUUUCCAUUUUGUGAAUAUAAAAUUUAUGUAGUAGAUGUCUUUUCCCACUGGUGGAUCUCUAGGUUCUGUUUUGUUUUUUUUUUCUAUUUGAACAUUGCCUCUCUGAACAUUCUUGUGCAUGCCUUCUGAAGCCUAUGAGGAUUUCUUUAGGAUAUAUAGUAGAGGUAGAACUCCUGGUGUAUAGGGUGUGUGCUGUCUAGCUUUACAAUAUAAUAUCAACUUGUUUUAUAAAGUUGUUGAACAAAACUACCCCCUGCCCAUCAGUGCAUACUAUUUCCUUUGCUCCAAAUUCUCAUCAACACUUGUAGGUCAAAGUUAGUUUUUGUCAAAGUUGUUUUGUAUUCUUUUUAUCCAUGAAUAGUAUCUAAGCCUUCUUGAAGCUAUUUAUGUUUUCAGCCUGCAUGACGUCUUGGGGCUAAAAGUUUCCACGUUUGCUGUUUACUGUGUAGAAGUAUUUCCUGCUGCAGCCCAAAAGGGGAGUGGAGGUAUUUUGUGAGAGUUAUGGACACUGUUUCCAGGCUAGCCCAGUUAUUUCCAUUGGUAACUAAGAAUAAUACAAAUAAAAUGUAUGGAAAAUUAAUUACUAAGACCUUUUGUCUGUGUCAUGCUAAAAAUGUUACCAUUUCCCCUUCUACAGAAGUCCUGAGAGUCAGGAUUUGAUUUUGCACUUUAAAAUAUGUCAGCUAUAUUAUUGAUCCCUCCCACAAAAGUAAAUAUCAAAGUCUCCAAAUGAACCACAGAGAUAGAUUGAAAAUGACCAAUUAAAGAAGAAGAAAUAAGGGAGAGAUGGACAGAAAGUAUAAAAGAAAAAUGAAAAGAAACUGUAAGAGAAAACUCUUAGGCUGUGGGUUUAAAAUAGGAUAUACAUGUAAACUCAAAUAAUGUGCUUAAAUGUUUAAACAGCUGACAGACAAUUCAAAAGUAGUUUGAUAUUAGUUAUCAUCAUUUCUCUCACAAUCCUCUCUUAGAAAUCAGAAUGGAAUUAAUUCUGUUUUGAGGUUUCUUUAAAAAACAUUAAUUUGUCUACAGCAUCAGAGGAAGACUCACAAUUCUACCUUUCAUUCUUGCUAUAGCAGCAAAGGCUCUUGAUUUCAUAAGCAUCAAGACUGAUUUAUUCAUCCAAAUGUUUUUUUUUUUUUUUUCAGAUGGAGUCUCAUUCUGUUUCCCAGGCUGGAGUGCAGUGGUGUGAUCUUGGCUCACUGCAACCUCUGCCUCCCUAGUAAAAGCGAUCCUCCUACCUCAGCCUCCCGAGAAGCUGGGAUUACAGGUGCAUACCACCACUACUGCUAAUUUUUGUAUUUUUAGUAGAGACGGUGUUUUGCCAUGUUGGCCAGGCUGGUCUUGAACUCCUGACCUCAAGUGAUCUGCCUGCCUCCACUUCCCAAAGUGCUGGGAUUACAGGCAUGAGCCACUGUGCCAGCCCUGCAUAUACAUUCUUAUGCCUACUGAUAUCAGAGGUUCUAAGCUAUCCCCAAAUCACCUAUUUGAAUCUUUUUUUUUUUUUUUUUUUUUUUUUUUUGAGACGGAGUUUCGCUCUUGUUACCCAGGCUGGAGUGCAAUGGCGCGAUCUCGGCUCACCGCAACCUCCGCCUCCUGGGUUCAGGCAAUUCUCCUGCCUCAGCCUCCUGAGUAGCUGGGAUUACAGGCACGCGCCACUGUGCCCAGCUAAUUUUUUAUAUUUUUAGUAGAGACGGGGUUUCACCAUGUUGACCAGGAUGGUCUCGAUCUGUUGACCUCGUGAUCCACCCGCCUUGGCCUCCCAAAGUGCUGGGAUUACAGGCUUGAGCCACCGCGCCCGGCCCUAUUUGAAUCUUAAAGCUCUAACUUAAUCAUCAUGUGUCCCUUUAGUGAAGAGUUGGGACUGGAGGCAGCCAGUUUUUUCUUUCUCACUGGGGGACAGGCCAUUGUCAACCUUCUCCUGCUUCACGACCUUGGCUACUGGGGCGGCAUUCUUUCAGACUUUUAUGCAUCUCUUUAAAAGCCCUAACAUCUACUUGACAUUAGGCAAUAAAGAUAAUGAAAUCUUUCGAGUUUUGUCCUGAUUCCAUUUUUCAUAAGAGUCCAUUGAAAUGCAGACAAUUUAUGCAGGUUGUUCCUUGGUUCUGUAAAGUCUGAGCUCUUAACUUUUGACCUCAUGUAACAGUUAUAGGUACAUACCUAACCACUUGCUAAUUCAGGACAAGCAAGCAUGCUGUUCUCCUAGAACAUGCUGCACUUGACUUGAGGCAGGAAGACAGAGAUGACAACUAUACUUGAAUUCAUGCCAUUCCCGCUGGUCACCAGUGACCACACCCUCCUAAGUACCUCUUAUUUCUGCAAGUUUUGUCAGGUCAAGAUGUCAUCAGGUUUGGUUUUUGAUGUUUCAGUCCUGCUAUGGAAUGGCAUAUGUCUCGUAGUUAAUACAUCUCUUAAAAAUACAAAAUGCUGUCUUUUUAGAUUUUUCAGUUCUGCAUAUAUGAUGUGUGUUUUUAUAGGUACUCUGUGUGGUUGCUAAACCAGCUUUCUAUUUCCCAGGUCCUUCUUUCUAAGUUGGCUUUCCUCUUGCCUUAGGAACCACACUCUGUUUUAGAAACAUGGCAGAAUUAAGAACAAAAGGAAAUUGGAAUUAAUGUAGAAAGAAGGUCAAAUAAUGAGAAGUAUUCAGUACUAAUUACCUGAAAUGUCACUUUCUCCAGCCUCCAUUUCAUUUAUGUAAAGAAGGAAUAUAAUGAUGUCUACCUCUGCCUAGUUCACAGCUUUCUAGUAAAGUUCUUAUGAUGUUAUUAUAGGGAACAUGUCUCUCAACUGUAAAGUGCUUGCUUGGAAGAUAUUAUUGAUUUUUGAAAUGGGGUCUCACUCUGUUGCCCAGACUGGAGUGCAAUGAUGUGAUCUCAGCUCACUGCAAUUUACACCUCCUUGGUUCAAGUGAUUCUCCUGCCUCAGCCUCUCUAGAAGCUGGGAUUACAGGCAUGUGUUACCACUCCCGGCUAAUUUAAAAAAAUAUUUUUUUAGUAAAGACUGGGUUUCUCCAUUUUGGCCAGGCUGGUCUCAAAUUCCUGAUCUCAAGUGAUCCACCUGCCUGCCUCAGCCCCCCAAAGUGCUGGGAUUACAGGCAUGAGCCACCAUGCCCAGCCUGAUAUUACUAUUCUUUAAAUAGCUAUGAGUUAGGAUUUUAGUAAAGUAUCCCCUGGGUGGCAAACCAGUAGAGGAAGAGCUUGUAAAUUUCAUUCCUUCUGGUUUACAAUCUGUUGUCUUUCUGGAAUGGUGAAGCACAAUGGUUGAAAUUAGACCCCUUUAAAAAAUCCAAAUGCCAUAUAUGUUGCUUGAUCAUAAAAUGUAUCCCUGCAUGGAUUUUCUCAAGAAUGGCAUGGCAGGAAGGGAUGUGAUGUCUUAAGUAUAUUUUCUCAUUAUGCACUUGUAUACUGUGCAUUGGUUUGUAUGUAGUUGUUAGCAUUUUCACUAAAAUAAUAAUUUCUCUGCUCCGUCCUCACCACCACUCCCCAGUUUAUCCUCUCUCAUCUGUUAGUGAGGAGACAUUAAUAGGACAGAAGAUGAGCAGUGAGGAAAUUGAUAACAAGCAGGAACAAAUAUUUUAUAAAUUGGUGAGUCAAUUUUUUGAGAUUGCCAUGGCCUAAGAGAGUAAUGGAUAUUCUCUGUUUUGCUGGAGACAGGAUCUUGCUUUGUUACCCAGGCUGGAGUGCAAUGGCCCUGUCACGGCUCACUGCAGCCUCAACGGCAGAGCUCAAACGAUCUUCCCACCUCAGCCUCCUGAGUAGGUGGGACUACAUGUGAGCACCACCACCCCCAGCUGAUUUUCUUUAUUUUUAGUAGAGAUGGGAUCUUGCUAUGUUGCACGGGCUGGUCUCAAACUCCUGAGCUCAGCACGGUCCUCAUGUCUUGGCUUCCCAAAGUGCUGGGAUUAUAGGCAUGAACCACUGCACCUGGCUGAAAUUGUUUUGAAAUGAUUUGUUCAUGGGCCUGUCUUCCCCACUAAAUUAUAUGCUCUCCUACGGGGCUGUGUCAUUUCUUAUACAUUUAAAUCUCCCCAGUAUUCAUUAGAAGAGUCUGGUACUUAACAGGUACUCCUUGGAUACUCGUUGAAUGGAACCUAACUAAUGGUAUUUGACAUGAUUUGAUUUAGGAUAACUUGGGAAAAGACUGCUCUGUGUUCAACAAGGACUAGCCACAAUGCAAAAUUGGAGAAAAUAACUCUCCAGCCUUUUGAUACCAUCCUCAGUGCCCCCAAACAACUCAGAGUUGAUUCCUAUUGCUGAAUCACCUACAGAAACCCAUCCUCUGUUAUUAUAAAAACAGCAACAACAUAUUUAUUGAAUAAUUACUAUAUGCCAGGUCCUGUCUAAGUACCUUAGAUGCAUUCAUUCAUUUUAUCAUCAGAGGAGCAGCAACACUAUGUGUUCUUAUUAUUUUCAUUUUACACAUGUAGAAACUUAUACAGAUGAAAACUUAUAUACCCUUCCCAAGGAGAUGGAUACAGUUUUCUCCAAACCACAAAUCUAGUAUGUGAUAGAGCAGGGACAAAACCCAGAAAAUCUAACUUCUGCAUCCAUGUUCCUAAUCUUUCCUCUUUGCACUGAAUAGCUCCGCAGACAGCAGAUCCUUGAUGGGAAGUUGUGGUAAAAGGGGCAGUAGAGCCGGCUGGCUCAAAGAAUAGAAGGAAGGCAGUGCCCUGUGUCUGCCCUGGCUCCCCAUGGGGUGGGGCCAGUCUGAGUAUUUCCCUCCCUGUGGCAUGUUUCUCAGUGUUGGUGACCAUACAUGGUUCUGCCCUAACUCAAUGAAUUAGCCAGUGAUUUCAGUUAAAACCACUGGCACCACCAGCCAGGCUGGCUUUCCUUCUCAUAUGCUCUUCUUUAAUUGGUGCAGACAUCAUUGAAAGAUGGCAUUAUGUGAAUAAUACGGAAUACAAACAAGAAAAGUUACACCACCUCAUAGAAUAGAAAGCCUGGCUUCAACCAGACCAGCUGGAGCUUACUGAUGAUUGCUACCACUUAAUCCCUAGAGGUACAGAGCUUUGUUGAAUUAAGGAUCCUCCUGAAAUGUUGAAACAAGUCUCUCAGUGGUCCAGACUUUCUGUAGCCACUUACUGAAAACAGGAAGAUAUUAUGAAAAGCUAUUGGAGGAAAGGGUGUCUGUGAAUUACUUCCAGCAGUGAAUGAAUCAUUAGUCAACCCUGGACAUAAAAUUCUGCAUAUGCACUGAGUUCUCAUUGAUAGCCCACCUCAUGUUGUAAUCUUGUAUAUGGAAACCUGGGGAAAUGGUCAAAGAUGCUCAUAAAGCCUCAGGCUUCUUCUUUGAAUGUGCUAUGAAAUAAGUCGAGUAUUUAGUCUACAUUCGUAGAAAUAAUGAGCAAACAAAAGAAGGCAAUUCCAUUUCCAUAAUCUCCUUAUAGGAGUCCUGCAUUUUGUAAACAGGUUGCUUUUCUAAAGGUCUAGUCGAGCCCUACAAUGAAUGUUAUGAAUUCAGAAAAAGUUUUCUCAAGAAAGAAUAUUAUAAGUUAUAGACAGGAUCCUAGGCUAACCCACUAAAGAUUAUUUAUAUACUAAAAUGCUUUAUAUCUGUAAUGGAAAAAAGUAGAAAAUGAUCCUAUUGAAAUAUCCUGAUGAAAUUUAAUAAGUUAUUUAAAAGAAAAUACUUAAGAAAAUGUAGUUUGAAUUAAAAUCUUGCUUAGGGAAAUGAGGUUUUGGUGCAGAUAUUGAAGAGGGUUUCAAGGAACUGUUGAGGACUACACAGAUUUAUAGUGCGACUUCGAUGUAGCCAGGUACAGCUGUGUACAGGUCCACCUGUAUGCAGGUGGAAUGUGUCCAUUAUACCAGUAAAACAGGCAUACAUCAGAAGUGUCCCAGGCAAACCUGGACAUCUGGUCCCCUUAUUAUACAUAAAAUGUUAAAUGUCUCACUUAGGUACAGAAUAGCAAAAAUGCUCCUGUUGAUCCUAGGUAUUGCUACUGCUGUUAUACAUUAGCAAAAUGCAGAUCUGUUAGGGUCUUGGAGGACAGAGCAACAUAUACUUAAUCACAGUGAUGAACAGUAGGCUGUUUUUUACUCUUAAAAACACAUACUGUUGCAGCUCUACGGUUAAAGGUAAGAGGAAACAUUUUAGCUUCAAAUUUCUCGAUCUUUCAUUUUUAUUGCACUUUGAAUGUGUAGGGUAGGAAUCUGUCUGGUAGAUAGAGUUGUGCUUGGGCCUCUGCCUGCUUUGGUUAUUGUCGCUAUGGUUGUGCUAAUGCUUAGUAAGUGUGAAUAUCCAUUACAUCUCCAACAGUCAGUCCUGUGAUCAAACAUAAACAGAGAAACAAAAAUGGUUUGUUCUAGAGAUUUCUGUUGGGCACAGCCACACGCUCAGGGCUUUUCAAACCAGAUAAUAGAGAAGGGGGCAGAUUAGUCAAACAAGUUGAAUUAUCAAAUCUCUUUGAAAAUGUCUAUUGUCCUAAUAUACCAAUAAAUGAGGCAAAUAGAUUUCUGAUAUGGGGGAAAGUCUCAAUAUUUUCUAAAGAGAACUUUUAAACCAGAAGAGAAAUGUGUACUACUAAGCUUGGAAGCAAAUAACAAAAGGAUCAACUUUCUAAAUAGUUUGUAGAGAGGAAAAAUGGCCCAAAUAUGUUUAAAUGACAGCUAAUAAAUGUUCCUUUUGUGUUUUGAAGUAUGUUAUUAAUUUUUGGUUGCCCAUUUAACUUCUUAUGUUUUGUUCGGGAGAAUAUUAAUUAGCUCAAUACACUGAAGGAUAAGGAGAUGUAUUUGUUGCAUGGAAGAGGAAGAGUGCUCAGAAACUUAAAUGCUGAUGGUAGAAAUCAGUCUUGUAUUUUUAAAAAAUCUAAUUAGGCCAGGUGUGGUGGCUCACGCCUGUAAUCCCAGCACUUUGGGAGGCUGAGGCAGGCAGAUCACCUGACGUCAGGAGUUUGAGACCAGCCUGACCAACAUGGUGAAACCCUGUCUCUACUAAAAAUAUAAAACUUAGCCAGGCGUGGUGGUGGGCCCCUGUAAUCCCUGCUACUCAGGAGGCUGAGGCAAGAGAAUUGCUUGAACCUGGGAGGCAAAGGUUGAGCCAAGAUCGUGCCAUUGCACUCCAGCCCGGGUGCAAAAAAUAAUAAACAAAUAAAAAUCAAAUACUGAUAAGCUACACAGGCAAUGGAGAAUCAAGCAGAUAAAACUGUCAUAUUGCUCUGUAGACAUCCAAUCACUUAGAAUGCUAAAAUGUUCUUUCUAAAAAUGUUCUCAUUCCCAGUGCCUGACUCUGAAAAGAACUGUUUGUAAUUCUGCAGAUGUGACAUCAUGUUUGGUUUUUUUGAAAAUAUAUGCUGGGUUUACAGUAUUUUUGCCUGAGCUCAAAUUCCGUAGUAAGAUACAUUAGAGACCUGUGUGGUGUUGCUCAUGCACCAUCAGUAGAUUUUUAGGCUGCCCAGUCCUAUGCCUUUCCUUAGGCCAUUGUACCCUGUCUAAUGCAAGCAGGCAGAACUUCCUCAGGUUAGGUGUGCAUUUUGAAAAGUCCAGAAAAGAGUCUUUGAGAGAAUGGAAUUGUCUCUUUGCACAAAUAUAUAUUAAUAGAUUAUUAUUUUAAUGGUCCAACUACCAUUCUUAUUUUAUGACUAUAAUUAGGUCACAGAUAAAAUGACCCACAGCUGGUACCUUGCAGAGCUCCAAAUUAUGCCAAAGUCCAGUCACCCAUGCUGCUUGUGGCCAUGCUACUCAGUGAUAUGGACCUAAUUUUUUUCCCCCAGUUGAGUAGUUUUGAUGAGCAGGUGUUCAGCUAAUAGGACAAAUAGCAGCUUUAGCCGACUCAUUAACGUCAUGAAAUAAUUGAAAAGGACAGAGAUACACUAGAAUGUCCAGCUCAGGGAAUAGCUUUGAACCUACAAUAGAUUGCUUCUCUGAGCAUCAGCUGUGAUACCGCAGAAAGAGACUGAGUGAGGCUUCAGAAGGCCUGGAGUCUCUUGCCAGCUCUAUUACAUAGUCUCCAAGUAACUUUGGACAACUUUCUUAAUUGCUUUAGACCUCCAUUUCUUCAUUUACUAUUGAAGGUAUUAUCCUGCCCCACCUAUCCCACAGUGUAGUAGGAUUCGAUGAGAUGGAUUAUGUUUAUGAAUGGCACUAUAAAUUAUCAACACUACCUAAAUACAAGGUACCAUUAUUAAGGUUCUAAUAUAGCUUUCCCAGUGACUCAGGAUAUAAUUGGGCAACUGAAUCACAUCAGGUUUCGCAAUCAUUAAAAUGGCAAAAUGUUUUAGAAACCUCACUCAACCUUAUGACUAAUAAGAUUUCUUAGAACAUUUCAUUUGCUUUCUCUGGGUAAUCAAUGACCAAUAUCGAGAAAUAAAAUGCUUCUAGUUUGAUAAAGCCAAAUUUAAGAAAACGACGUUUGGCUGGGCGCGGUGGCUCAUGCCUGUAAUCCUAGCACUUUUGGAGGCUGAGGAUGGAGUAUCACUUGAGGCCAGGAGUUUGAAAACAGCCUGGGUAACAUGGAGAAACGCUGUCUUUACUAAAAAUACAAAAAUUAGCCAGGUAUGGUGGCACAUGCCUGUAAUCCCAACUACUCUAGAGGCUGAGGCAUGAGAAUCGCUAGAACCCAGGAGGUGGAGGUUACAGUGAGCUGAGAUGGUGCCACUCCACUCCAGCUUGGGUGAUGGAGCAAAACUUUGUCUAAAAAAAAAAAAGAAAGAAUGAAAGGAAAGAAAAUGACAUUGACUGCAACUCCACAUUGCUAAAUUUGACUACCUAAAAAAUUAUUAUUAUUAUUAUUAUUAUUGUAUUUGAGAUAGAGUCUCUCUCUGUCACCCAGGCUGGAGUGCAGUGGCAUUGAUAUUGUCUCACUGCACCUCUGCCUCCCGGACUCAAGCAGUUCUCCUGCCUCAGCCCCCUGAGUAGCUGGGACUACAGGCAUGCACCACCAUGCCUGGCUAACUUUUGUAUUUUUAGUAGAGACAACUUUUCACCAUGUUGGCCAGGCUGGUCUUGAACUCCGGAUCAGGUGAUCCACCCACCUCAGCCUCCCAAAAUGCUGAAAUUACAGGUGUGAGCCACUUCACCUGGCCUGACUGGCUAAAAGAAAUUUAAAUAAAUAAAUAAAAAGAAAAGAAAAUUAUAUUGAGAGGGGAGAUUACUGAAGAUCGUGCUCUUUUAGUUCCAGAAAAUUAUUUGUCAUUCAAUCUCUUAUUAAAGUACAAGAGAACCUGGAGAAACUUGUAAAUGUUUGAAAUACUAAACCAGAACUGGUUACAUUAUGUCUCCUUUUAUCGUGGACAGUUCAAUAUUCCAUACUGUGUAAAGAAAACAUAAGCCUUCUAGCCCACUUCUUUCCCUUCAUCUAUUUCCCACCACCCAGAUCUAAAGGGUGGUAGAACAUAUACAUGAGAAUAUUCAUUACAGCAUCAUUUCAGAGAAUUGUAGGCAGGAGAGAUGUCCAUUACUGGAGGAGUUAAUAAGUAAAAGAUACAUACAAUUAACAGACUACUGAUCAUCAUUCAUUAGAAAUAUCAUCAAGAACAUAGAUAGACCUAAAAAUUAUAGUGUUCAGUGAAAAGAAAGAGAGAAAAGAGGGAGAAUGGGAGAGCAGGAGAAAUGGAAUGAGUUAUAAAACCUAAGAGGGGGCGUGUAUGCCAUUAAUUGAAGACUAUGUUAACUCAUCAUAGGCCUAAAGACAAACAAAAAGGCUUAAAAAAUUAAGAUUGAUGGACUGCCCCAUCUUUCAGGUAUGCUUAAUUCUUUCCACUAUAUUUUUUGUAUAAUGAAAGAAUACUUCAUGGCUUAUUUAGUGUCCUUUAUAAUGCAGCCCCCCUCAACCCCUGGGCUUAAAAUCUUUUCCUCAAAAGGAAAAGACUGACCUCCACGACCUCCUUCUAUGCUUUUCAGUACCAUCAUUCAAUGGCUCCGUAGUGCAAUGCUGUAAUCUUAGCUCCCUGCAGCUUCACUUUCUGGUUCAAGUGAUUCCCCUGCCUCAGCCUCCUGAGUAGCUGGAUUACAGGCAUGCACCAACUUGCUCAGCUGUUUUAGAUUUUUAGUAGAGACUCCUGUCUCUCUUCACCAUCUUGGCCAGGCUGGUCUUGAACUCCUGCCCACAGGUGAUCCACCUGCCUUGUCCCCCCAAAGUGCUGGGAUUACAGGCAUGAGCCACCACACCUGGUCCUAAUUUUACUAUUGUUUAGUCGCCUAUUGUUUAACUGUUGAGUUAGUUUCAAGGACUCUCCUCCCUUUUCAACUGUGGAGCCCUGAGCCAGGUGCAGUGUGUUAAUGAAAGUAGGGGUAUCUCCUGCUGUCUUCAUUCCUGCUUCAUAAAUCCCAGUUCCAGCCAUCUCCAAAGAUGCAGUGUACUUCCCAGGAAGAGCGUAGAGCAUAUAUAAUAAAGUGAUAGAUACUUCCAACAUUAGUUAUUGAAUUCAGUAUUAGCCACCGAAUUAAAUUAAAGUUUUUGUAAAACAGAUUCACUCCUGGGCGCCAGCAAACUGAAAAUUUGGAAAGGGUUGAUGGGGAUAUCAAUGCUAAGGAAAGUUGUUUAUUAACAGACAUUUCCUUGGGGAGAAGCCACACAGGAAGAAAAUAAAAAUACAUCAACAACAAUGAUUAGACUAUCUAAGCAGGUCUCUCAUGACCUUAAGAAUCCAGGAAAUUUUCCUCCUGAUCCUAGAUGAAAUGACUAGAUCAAACAGCCAGAAUGACUGCUGCUAGUUUCCUGCCCAGUAUACACUAAGAGAUUACAACCAAUCAAUGUCUGCCUCAAGUUUUUGUUUCAUUUUGUUCUAAACAUACAAGGACAGAAUAGAUCAUUUGUAAAAAGUCUGGCAGAGUUUUCAUAUUAGGUCACAUUUUAUCAAAACUACCAGAAGCAAAUUACAAGAAAUUAUAUGGAGAUGGGUAAAAUCAACUUCUCUACUUUUUAUUUAUUUAUUUUAGAGAUGGGGUCUUGCUCUGUUGCCCAGACUGGAGGGCAGUGGCAUGAUCAUAACUCACUGCAGCCUCAAACUUCUGGGCUCCAGCAAUCUUCCCACCUCAGUCUCCCAAACAGCUCAAACUACAAGUUUGUGCUGCCACGUCUGGCUAAUUUAAAAAAAAAUGCAGAGAUGAGGCUCAAGCAGUCCUCCCACCUCUGCCACCCAAACUGCUGAGAUUUUAGGCACAAACCACCAUGCCUAGCUAACUUCUCUACGUUUAAAAGAGCUUCUAUUUCUACCUAAAUAUGGCCAUGAGCUAAUAAGAGCCUGAAGCAAAUAUCAGAGUAACCUGAUCUUGUGAUAAACAAUUCCUUGAACGCCCAACAUUUAUACCGAACUUCUUUUUGGUUUAGCCAACAUAAACAUACUAGUUCUCAGCCUGGGCGGGAGGGAUACAAUGCUUCCCACAGGAACCCUGAGUCACAGGGAGAGUAAAUGACUUGGUACAGAGGUGAGAAUGAGGCCUGGGGCUGCCUGAGUUUAAGAGCCAGCUCAGAUACCAACUUACCCUGAGAUUCCCAGCAAGUCACUUUAUGAUCUUGAAUCUUCAUGGAUUGCACUCACAGGCGACCAUAUAGUUUAUUGCUCAGGUCAGGUAUUUUUUAGAGUAAAAGGGGGUGCUGUUAAUAAUUCCACUGGGACAACGAAUCUUUCAGGCUCACAGCUGCUUAAAAAUUCCAUUACAGUUGAGAAAAUAGGACCCAGGUUCCUGCUCACCUGACCUGUCCUCUGCUUCCCAGGAGAUAGCUCAGCCUGGAGUUCUGGGGACGAUUGUUCAGCAUAUUGUAAAAGGUAGAGGUAGGCACUUUCCCAGCAUCUAAAAAGGACAGCCUAACCUGCACCUGCUUGGUUGCACUGUGUGUUCAAACUCAACAGCACUGGAAGGCCAAAAACACAUCAGGGCCCUGGCCCGGGAAGACAGCAGACGCAUGCACCUCCUGCGCCAGGAGACAGGAGCCUUCCGUUUGCAGCAUCAGGCUUGUUGCCCCUCUGUCGAACCUGUUCCCCACUGCCAGGCGAUGCCCCAAGGAGUGUGCAGGAUGGCUGUGGUCCAGGACAGAACAGGGGUUGCUACAGGAUCCUCAGGUGUUGGUUUUUAAAAGGGCAGUUACUGCUUUAUAAACCACUCCAAGCUACAGGUUACCCUCUGCCAACAAUUUCCUCUUUCCUUAGCCCUGUUCACUGUCCCUAUUCACUUGAUGUUUUAAAAGUUGAAGGAAGCCGGUCGAGUGCGGUGGCUUGUACCUCUAAUGCCAGCAUUUUGGGAGGCCAAGAUGGACAGAUCGUUUGAGCUCAGGAGUUCAAGACCAGCCUGGGCAACAUGGCGAAACCCUGUCUCUACCAAAACUACAAAAAAUUAGCCAGGGAUGGUGGUGCAUGUCUAUGGUCCCUGCUACUCUAGAGGCUGAGGUGGAAGGAUGGCUUGAGCCUGGGAGGCGGAGGUUGAAGUGAGCCAAGAUUGUGCCACUGCACUCCAGCCUGGGUGACAGUGAAACUCCAUCUCAACAGCAACAACAAAAAUCCUAAGGAAGCCAUCAACAACAUCCAGAAAUUAAGCUGUUAGGUCAUAAUACAGCCUUAAAAAUGUCCAGGUGACCUCUUGAACUAAGUUAUUGUAUAAUGAGAGAAUUUGGAAAUGAAGAUGAAGGGGAAAUGUUGAAAGAAAAGUCAUCCAAGGAAGGAAGAAAUUCUGUCAGUCAUACAAACUUGUUUUAUCAGUCAUGCAAACUUGCCAUUCAUUUUUCUUUGUUCUUAAAUUUGGGGGAAACUCUGAAUAACAGGAAAAAGCAUUUGCCUUCCAAACAGGGCAUUAAACUGGUGUUGACUGCUGCCCUGAUGCCAACGGCCUAAUCUUUUCCCCAGAGCUAGAGUGCCAGGAUGGAGCUCGCCUUCUCCCUUUCCUCCCCACUGCUGCUCCCACAAUGUGUCCUUUGGCUACAGGGCUACUCUGGGCUCUGACUGCCAGCAGACUCCGCCUCCCCAGAAGAGAUGCUAGUUACACACCCAGCCAUGCCCCUCUUCAGAGGCAGGACUGGCCACAGGCAGCUGCCACUUGCUUUCAAGAGCUGCAGCAAUUUGGUUUUCAAACAGGACAAAAGUACUAGAAUGGGUCCACAGCCACAUGAAUUUGGUAGGGGGGGGGCCCUGCCCCACCUACAAAACUGGGUUCCCGAAGAAUGAGGCUCCUGGCCGCUAAGACUAGCUAAACUGUUCUGCUGGUGCCAGCCUUCUGCUCCCAAGAAAGAAGCAGAAAGACUCAGGAAAUACAGCUACUUCUGAUGAGUUCGACUGCAUUGAUUAAGAAUGGACUAAUUCGGAAAAAGAAAUCUAACAGUGCCCACAAUCUGUAGAUGGUUGCCUACUGGAUAUUGUUUGAAAAAUUAUACUGAAAGCCGACAAUCUUGGUAUUUUUUUCCCCAGCAAGUUGCUUGGAAUUCUGACCAAUAAGGAGGAUACAUUUUGCAUAAAACUUGGAUUCUCCUGAUUGCCCCAUUUUAAAAGUCAAAUAGUACCUAUAUUUAUAUGACAUUUCAAAGAACUCCUAGAUAUGUGAUCUUGCUGGAACCUACUUAAUAUACCAAGGAGGGACAUAAUUCAUUAAACAAGUAUUAUCUAUUAACAUCAUAAGUUUAAUUAGUUUUCCAGAGAUGGAUAAAACAAGCCCUGAGAGAAUGAGACCUGGAAAGUGCCACAUUUGGAUUGAAGGGGAGAUGAGAACCCAUUGGAAGCAGAGGGAGCGUGGAGCCAGUGAGGCUCUGUGGUCGCACAGACACCUCUGAACCAACGCCUGCACCCAUACAGGUGCUGAGAGAGAGCUAAAGAGCUGCAGACAGGAAGGACAGAAGUCACAAAGACGAACUUCACCCACUCAUGCUUUUGCCUGGGCCUGACCUGGAAGUCCUAAUUAAAGGACCCUGUACUGCCAGAUAGACUCAUCCGGAUGCUGGGAAUGCACACAUGCUAUUUCUUGAAAGAACAACUUGGCUGUCUCCCAGAGCAGAGUGCCUGGUGUGUACACUGAGAUUCCUUUCAAUAAUUCUAAUCCUCUGCUUAUGCCAGAUAUUAAUAGGGAACAAAAGGAAGCUAUCGUUUUGAAAUAUCUCUUCUCACUCAGCACAAUCCUUUAAUAAUGCACCUUGGAGGCCCUGAGUAAUUCUUCUGGCUUGCUGCCCUGGAGCAUGUCUGGGUUCCACGGAUUUGCUUGGAAGGUUCUGGAUACCCUAUCCUAGCUGGAGCUGGGAGUGUGACUUUGAGGACCCAGAAGCAGCCUCUUUCUCUACUACCUCUGAGCUUCUGUUGCUGUAUUCCCUGAGCCUCCCAGCCUCAUCCUGCCCCCAGACUUGGUGGCCAGGUGCCAUGGGGCCAUCCCCAUCCUCUCUAUGGGCCUUACUGUCCUUAUCUGUCAAGUGAAUGGUUUUGAUUUCACUGGUUUUCAUCGCUAGGUGCACAUUAGACUAACCUGGGGAACUUUAAAAACCAAUGCCAGGGCUGCACACCCAGGGAUUCUGAUUUAAUUGGUCAGAAUUUUUUUUUUCUUUUGGAGACACAGUGGGCACAGUUGCCAUUUUCAGCAUAGAUUGACAUGCAUAAUCACAGCAUAAAAUUGCAAUAAAUAAAGCACAGUCAUCUUGCUGAAGCGGCACACUCCCAGUGGCUGCUGUCUUCCUUGGAGCAGGAGGUGUGUGCUGCUACCCUGUUCUGCCUUGAGGUGAGCCACAGCGGGGCCCAGUCACUUUUUUUUUUUUUUUGAGAUGGAGUCUUGCUCUGUCACUCAGACUGGAGUGCAGUGGCACGAUCUCGGCUCACUGCAACCUCCACCUCCCAGGUUCAAGCGGGUUUCCUGCCUCAGCCUCCCAAGUAGCUGGAAUUACAGGUGGCUGCCACGAUGCCCAGGCUAGUUUUUGUAUUUAUAGUAAAGAUGGGGGUUUCACCAUGUUGGUCAAGCUGGUCUCAAACUCCUGACCUCGGUGAUCCACCUGCCUCAGCCUCUCAAAGUGCUGGAGUUACAGGCAUGAGCCACAGUGCCCCACCCAACUUGCUGAUGUUUUUUUUUUUUAAUUUUAAAGUUCUCCAGGCCCCAGAAACACUAGGUUAGAUAAUCUCCAGCAACACACCCAGUUCUAUAAAAGUCUGUUAUCCUUA